GCCUGCAACAUAGCGUUAAUGCACCAGAUCCCAUUAGAACUCCAUAGUUAAGCGUGCUUAGGCUAGAGUAGUAUUGGGAUGAGUGACUGCCCGGGAAGUCCUAGUGUUUUACAUGCC
rnacentral:rRNA from 1 species